GACGAACCGUACGAACGUUAUUCGGAAUCACUGGGCUUAAAGGGUGCGUAGGCGGCGCGACAAGUUGGGUGUGAAAUCCCUCGGCUCAACCGAGGAACUGCGCCCAAAACUGUCGUGCUCGAGGGAGACAGAGGUGAGCGGAACUUAGGGUGGAGCGGUGAAAUGCGUAGAUAUCGGAAGGAACACCUGUGGCGAAAGCGGCUCACUGGACCAUUACUGACGCUGAUGCACGAAAGCUAGGGGAGCAAACAGG
rnacentral:rRNA from 1 species